rnacentral:rRNA from 1 species
UUUAUGGAGAGUUUGAUCCUGGCUCAGGAUGAACGCUGGCGGCGUGCCUAAUACAUGCAAGUCGAGCGAACAGAUAAGGAGCUUGCUCCUUUGACGUUAGCGGCGGACGGGUGAGUAACACGUGGGUAACCUACCUAUAAGACUGGAAUAACUCCGGGAAACCGGGGCUAAUGCCGGAUAACAUGUUGAACCGCAUGGUUCUAC